GGUGAGAUGGCCGAGUGGUCCAAGGCGCCAGACUAAGGUGUUUCAUUCUUCAUUGGGAUUUGAAAAAUCGUAUCUGGUCCGAAAGGGCGUGGGUUCGAAUCCCACUCUCAUCA
rfam:Daedalea quercina L-15889 unplaced genomic scaffold DAEQTscaffold_4, whole genome shotgun sequence.